rnacentral:rRNA from 1 species
UUUAUUGGAGAGUUUGAUCCUGGCUCAGGAUGAACGCUGGCGGCGUGCCUAAUACAUGCAAGUCGAGCGAAUCGAUUAAGAGCUUGCUCUUAUGAAGUUAGCGGCGGACGGGUGAGUAACACGUGGGUAACCUGCCCAUAAGACUGGGAUAACUCCGGGAAACC